GAUGAACGCUGGCGGCGUGCUUAAUACAUGCAAGUCGAGCGAACAGACGCUGCGCUUGCUCCUCGCACGUUUGCCGCGGAGGGGUGAGUCACGCGAGUAUCCCCUACUUAUCAGUCUGGGAACACUUCGGGAAACCGGCGCUAAUACCGGAUAAGCUAUUGCUCCGCAUGGUUGAAUAGUAAAAGUCGGUUUUUGUGGCUGUAAUAGCUGGUUCUGCGCUGCAUUAGCGGGUUGGUGAGGUAACGGCUUACCAAGGCGACGAUGCGUAGCCGACGUGCGUGGGGGGUCGGCCACAUUGGAACGGGGACACGGUCCAUGCGCCUACGGUAGGGAGCAGAAGGGAAUCGGCCGCAGUGGGGGGAAGCCUGGCGGAGCGGGGCGGAGUGAGUGAUGAAGGUCUUCGGAUCGUAAAGCUCUGUUAUUAGGGAAGAACCAAUGUGGAAGGAACUGUGCACGUCUUGACGGUACUGAAUCAGAAAGCAACGGCUAACUACGUG
rnacentral:rRNA from 1 species